AUACGGAGGGUGCAAGCGUUACUCGGAAUCACUGGGCGUAAAGCGCGCGCAGGCGGGCUGAUAAGUUGGAUGUGAAAGCCUACGGCUCAACCGUAGAACUGCAUCCAAAACUGUCAGUCUAGAGUCUGGGAGGGGAAGAUGGAAUUAGUUGUGUAGGGGUAAAAUCCGUAGAGAUAACUAGGAAUACCAAAAGCGAAGGCGAUCUGCUGGAACAGUACUGACGCUGAGGCGCGAAAGCGUGGGGAGCAAACAGGAUUAGAUACCCUAGUAGUCC
rnacentral:rRNA from 1 species